UACGGAGGGUGCGAGCGUUGUCCGGAAUCACUGGGCGUAAAGGGCGCGUAGGCGGCCUGAUAAGUAGGGGGUGAAAUCCUGCGGCUUAACCGCAGGGCUGCCUUCUAAACUGUCAGGCUUGAGCACAGUAGAGGCAGGUGGAAUUCCCGGUGUAGCGGUGGAAUGCGUAGAGAUCCGGAAGAACACCGGUGGCGAAGGCGGCCUGCUGGGCAGUAGCUGACACUGAGGCGCGGACAGCGUGGGGAGCAAACAGG
rnacentral:rRNA from 1 species